rnacentral:lncRNA from 1 species
GCUACCUGUUGAUCGCUACUGUUUCCUCUUAAUUCAAAUAUUUUCUUGUCUUACUAAGUGUCACUUCAGCAUCAGUUAGAGUAUAACCUGGGAAGCAGUGAAAGAUAAAUGGGAAAAAACUUUUGUCCUUCGACAUCGUGACUUGAAAGCUUCUAGCCAUGAUACAAACAUAGUUAAUUUGUAUCAAUACAAAGACAUGAUUGACAUUGAUUUUCGCUUGCUAUUUCCUGGAAAAGAGAUUUUGCUAUAUGGGCGGAUUUUAAGAAGAAGAUAAAAUCAUUUUAUAGAACACAUAUAAAUGAUAAAUCCUGCAAAUUAUUAUUUUCAUCUUUAAAUGACAAAUCUGAAACAAUUAAGUUUUUUCUGUAAUAUAAUAAAUUAGUUGCUACUUGUGCUAA